CUUAAGAUGCGCCAAGAUCCUC
rnacentral:siRNA from 1 species